AUUGAACGCUAGCGGGAUGCUUUACACAUGCAAGUCGACCGAGUGGCGGACGGGUGAGUAAUAUAUCGGAACGUGCCCAGUAGCGGGGGAUAACUACUCGAAAGAGGGGCUAAUACCGCAUACUCUUGGAGCGGCCGAUAUCGGAUUAGCUAGUUGGUGGGGUAAAGGCUAACCAAGGCGACGAUCCGUAGCUGGGUUGAGAGGACGACCAGCAACACUGGGACACAGACACGGCCCAGACUCCUACGGGAGGCAGCUGGGGGUAAUGUUGGACAAUGGUGGGAACCCGGAUGCAGCAAUCCCGCGUGUAUAAGAAGGCCUUCGGGGGGUAAAGUACUUUUGGCAGAGAAGCGGUAUCGGCAGAAUAAGGACCGGCUAACUACGUGCCAGCAGCCGCGGUAAUUC
rnacentral:rRNA from 1 species